rnacentral:rRNA from 1 species
AACGAACGCUGGCGGCAGGCCUAACACAUGCAAGUCGAACGCCCUAGCAAUAGGGAGUGGCAGACGGGUGAGUAACACGUGGGAACGUGCCUUUCGGUUCGGAAUAACCCAGGGAAACUUGGACUAAUACCGGAUACGUGCGAGAGCAGAAAGAUUUAUCGCCGAAAGAUCGGCCCGCGUCCGAUUAGCUAGUUGGUGGGUAACGGCUCACCAAGGCAUCGAUCAGUAUCCGGCCNGAGAGGGCGGACGGACACACUGGGACUGAGACACGGCCCAGACUCCUACGGGAGGCAGCAGUGGGGAAUUGUUCGCAAUGGGCGCAAGCCUGACGACGCAACGCCGCGUGGAGGAUGAAGACCUU